CGUGUAGGCGGCCAGGUAGGUCGGUUGUGAAAAUUGGAGGCUCAACUUCCAGACGUCGAUCGAAACCAUCUGGCUAGAGUCCGGAAGAGGAGAAUGGAAUUCCUGGUGUAGCGGUGAAAUGCGCAGAUAUCAGGAAGAACACCGAUGGCGAAGGCAGUUCUCUGGGACGGUACUGACGCUGAGACGCGAAAGCGUGGGGAGCGAACA
rnacentral:rRNA from 1 species